rnacentral:rRNA from 1 species
AAACUAACAAGGAUUCCCCUAGUAACUGCGAGUGAAGCGGGAAAAGCUCAAAUUUAAAAUCUGGCGGCUUUGGUCGUCCGAGUUGUAUUCUAGAGAAGUGUUUUCCGCGUUGGACCGUGUAUAAGUCUCUUGGAAUAGAGCGUCAUAGAGGGUGAGAAUCCCGUCUUUGACGCGGACUACCAAUGCUUUGUGAUACACUCUCAAAGAGUCGAGUUGUUUGGGAAUGCAGCUCAAAAUGGGUGGUAAAUUCCAUCUAAAGCUAAAUAUUGGCGAGAGACCGAUAGCGAACAAGUACCGUGAGGGAAAGAUGAAAAGCACUUUGGAAAGAGAGUUAAACAGUACGUGAAAUUGCUGAAAGGGAAACGCUUGAAGUCAGUCGCGUUAGCUAGAACUCAACCAGGCUUGCUUGGCGUAUUUUCUAGUUAACGGGCCAGCAUCAGUUUUGACCGCAGGAAAAGGGCCAGGGAAAUGUGGCAUCUUCGGAUGUGUUAUAGUCUCUGGUCGUAUACUGUGAUUGGGACUGAGGACCGCAGCACGCGCAAGCUGUGCUUAGGAUGCUGGCGUAAUGGCUUUAAACGACC